rnacentral:miRNA from 1 species
GCAGACACAUUCCAGCCAAUCAGCAGCAGACCCUCCCUCCCAGACCCUCUCACCCCCUGCACAGCAUCCAUUUUACAUUCAUUGUGAAGCUGCAUUCUUAGUGAGCUGUCCAGGAGGUGGGAGGGUCUGGGAGGGAGGGUCUGCUGCUGAUUGGCUGGAAUGUGUCUG